CUGCAUUUUAAUAAAACAACAAAAUCCCAUUUUAAGUGUAUAAGAAUUUGUCUAGGUUUGUGUGGGUGUGGAGAAGGUGUGGAAGGAAUUCGUCUAGGUUUGUGUGGGUGUGAAGGUGUGGAAGGAAUUCUCUAGGUUUGUGUGGGUGUGAGAAGGUGUGGAAGGAAUUGUCUAGGUUCGUGUGGGUAUGGAGAAGGUGUGGAAGGAAUUCGUCUAGGUUCGUGUGGGUGUGGAGAAGGUGUGCAAGGAAUUCGUCUAGGUCUGUGUGGGUGUGGGGAAGGUGUGGAAGGAAUCGUCUAGGUUCGUGUGGGUGUGGAGAAGGUGUGGAAGGAAUUCGUCUAGGUUCGUGUGGGUGUGGAGAAGGUGUGGAAGGAAUUCGUCUAGGUUCGUGUGGGUGUGCACAAGGUGUGGAAGGAAUUCGUCUAGGUUCGUGUGGGUGUGGAGGUGUGGAAGGAAUCGUCUAGGUCUGUGUGGGUGUGGAGAAGGUCUGGAAGGAAUUCGUCUAGGUUCGUGUGGGUGUGGAGAAGGUGUGGAAGGAAUCGUCUAGGUUUGUGUGGGUGUGGGGAAGGUGUGGAAGGAAUUCAUCUAGGUUCGUGUGGGUGUGGAGGUGUGGAAGGAAUCGUCUAGGUUCGUGUGGGUGUGGAGAAUGGGUGUGGGGAAGGUGUGGAAGGAAUCGUCUAGGUUCGUGUGGGUGUGGAGAAGGUGUGGAAGGAAUUCAUCUAGGUUCGUGUGGGUGUGGGGAAGGUGUGGAAGGAAUCGUCUAGGUUCGUGUAGGUGUGGAGAAGCUACGGAAGGAUACAUGCCUGGGGGACUGGAAUAGGGGGAGAUGAUUAGCUUUUCCUUUCUGCUUAUUUUUUAUUUGGAAAUAACUGUAAACACAGAAAAGUUGCAAAAAUAAAAACAGUACAAAGAAUACCUAUAUACCCUUUACUCAGAUUGACGUGCAUUCCUUCCUUACCUACUCCUCUCCUCCUUCCCCCAUUCCUUCCUCCAUCCCUGUCUCUUUCACUCAUAAUUUCUGCCCUGUAUGUGUGCAUACACACACACGAACACACACACGCGCGUGUGGGACAAUGUCCCAGUUCCUGACCAAGGCCUUGUGUUUUUCCACUGUCUUGUGCCUCUACUAUUGCUGUGGGAAAGCAUUCUUCUGGUGCCUGUUGUAGUGCUGCCAUGAGACCAGAAGGAACAUGUGUGAGGCAAACCUGAGCCCAUCAGCACAAGAGCUAAACCCAGCAGCACACAGAUUGUGAGUCUUUUUUUUUUUUUCUGUUUUCUUUUUUUAAGACAGGUUCUCUCUCUGCCACUCAGGCUGGAGUGCAGUGGCAUAAUCAUGGCUCACUGCAGCCUUGACCUCCUGGGCUCAUGUGAUCCUCCCACCUUAGCCUCUGAAGUAGCUGGGACUACAGGCACACAUCACCAUGCCAGGCUUUUUUUUUUUUUUUUUUUUUGUAGAGAUGGGGUUUCACCAUGUUACCCAGGCUGGUCUCGAACUCCUGGGCUCAAUCAAUCCACCCACCUCAGCCUCCCCAAAUGCUGGGAUUACAGGCAUAGGCCACCAUGCCCAGCCACACACAGAUUGAAUUAGAGUGGCCCAACCAAAUCCUGCCAACCUGUAGACACAUGAGAAGGAAAUACCAAUUGUUGUAGACUGAGAUGUUUGCAUUUGUUUGUUAUGGAGCAAUGACUGACCAAUACAGUUGCUAACACUUAUAAAGCACUUACUUUAUGCUAUAGAGUGCUGUAAGAAUUUUGCUUAUAUUAUCUAAUUUGAUAUGCAACAAUCCUUCUCACAGAUGAGGAAAUUGAGACUAAGUCAGUUGCACAAGGCCACACAGCUAAUAAGCUAACAAGCUAUGUGACUAUGGGACACACUGCCUCUGGACAUAUGCUAGGUGAGACAAUAAUUGAUGGUGGGUUAAACCAGUUUGAGUUGGCAUUUCUAUUACUUGCAGCCUAAAGCAUCCUACCUAAUUCAGCUGUACAGCCUUCUUCCUACCUCACCCCUCCCUUCCUUAUCUCUAGCCCUGGGGAUUUUGAUUACCCUGGGGAGAAGCCUUGCUUUGCCCAAACAUUAAUUUACAC
rnacentral:lncRNA from 10 species